rnacentral:rRNA from 1 species
UACAGAGGGGGCAAGCGUUGUUCGGAAUUACUGGGCGUAAAGGGCGCGUAGGCGGCCUGCUAAGUCGAACGUGAAAUCCCUGGGCUCAACCCAGGAACUGCGUCCGAUACUGGUUGGCUUGAAUCCGGGAGAGGGAUGUGGAAUUCCAGGUGUAGCGGUGAAAUGCGCAGAGAUCGGGAGGAACACCCGUAGCGAAGGCGGCACUCUGGGCCGGUACUGACGCUGAGGAGCGAAAGCGUGGGGAGCAAACAGG